rnacentral:rRNA from 1 species
GACGAACGCUGGCGGCGUGCUUAACACAUGCAAGUCGAACGGAAAGGCUCCAGCUUGCUGGAGUACUCGAGUGGCGAACGGGUGAGUAACACGUGGGUAAUCUGCCCUUCACUCUGGGAUAAGCCUUGGAAACUGGGGCUAAUACUGGAUAUGACCUUUCUACUUAUGGGGUUUGGUGGAAAGUUUUUCGGUGUAGGAUGGGCGCGCGGCCUAUCAGCUUGUUGGUGGGGUGAUGGCAUACCAAGGCGACGACGGGUAGCCGACCUGAGAGGGUGAUCGGGCACAUUGGGACUGAGAUACGGCCCAGACUCCUACGGGAGGCAGCAGGGGGGAAUAUUGCACAAUGGGCGGAAGCCUGAUGCAGCGACGCCGCGUGAGGGAUGACGGCCUUCGGGUUGUAAACCUCUUUCAGCAGGGACGAAGCGUAAGUGACGGUACCUGCAGAAGAAGCACCGGCUAACUACGUG